AGAGUUUGAUUAUGGCUCAGAAUCAACGCUGGCGGCGUGCCUCAGACAUGCAAGUCGAACGAUUAAAGCUCUCUUCGGAGAGUGUAUAGAGUGGCGCACGGGUGAGUAACACGUAAGUAAUCUACCUUCGAGUGGGGAAUAACACCGAGAAAUCGGUGCUAAUACCGCAUAAUGCAGCGGCAUCUUAUGAUGACAGUUGUUAAAGAUUUAUCGCUUGAAGAGGAGCUUGCGGCAGAUUAGCUAGUUGGUAAGGUAAUGGCUUACCAAGGCUACGAUCUGUAACCGGUCUAAGAGGACGGUCGGUCACACUGACACUGAAUAACGGGUCAGACUCCUACGGGAGGCAGCAGUCGGGAAUUUUGGGCAAUGGGCGAAAGCCUGACCCAGCAACGCCGCGUGAAGGAUGAAGUAUUUCGGUAUGUAAACUUCGAAAGAAUGGGAAGAAUCAAUGACGGUACCAUUUAUAAGGUCCGGCUAACUACGUGCCAGCAGCCGCGGUAAUACGUAGGGACCAAGCGUUGUUCGGAUUUACUGGGCGUAAAGGGCGCGUAGGCGGCUCGCGCAAGUCACUUGUGAAAUCUCCGGGCUUGACUCGGAACGGCCAAGUGAAACUGCGGAGCUAGAGUGUGGAAGGGGCAAUCGGAAUUCUUGGUGUAGCGGUGAAAUGCGUAGAUAUCAAGAGGAACACCUGAGGUGAAGACGGGUUGCUGGGCCAACACUGACGCUGAGGCGCGAAAGCCAGGGGAGCAAACGGGAUUAGAUACCCCGGUAGUCCUGGCCCUAAACGAUGAAUACUUGGUGUCUGGAGUCAUUAAUGCUCCGGGUGCCGUCGCUAACGUUUUUAGUAUUCCGCCUGGGGAGUACGCUCGCAAGAGUGAAACUCAAAUGAAUUGACGGGG
rnacentral:rRNA from 1 species